UUUCAGAUCGUUUAUCAUCGCCUAGGUC
rnacentral:piRNA from 1 species